AUUGAACGCUGGCGGCAGGCCUAACACAUGCAAGUCGAGCGGUAGCACAGAGAGCUUGCUCUCGGGUGACGAGCGGCGGACGGGUGAGUAAUGUCUGGGAAACUGCCUGAUGGAGGGGGAUAACUACUGGAAACGGUAGCUAAUACCGCAUAACGUCGCAAGACCAAAGUGGGGGACCUUCGGGCCUCAUGCCAUCAGAUGUGCCCAGAUGGGAUUAGCUAGUAGGUGGGGUAACGGCUCACCUAGGCGACGAUCCCUAGCUGGUCUGAGAGGAUGACCAGCCACACUGGAACUGAGACACGGUCCGGACUCCUACGGGAGGCAGCAGUGGGGAAUAUUGCACAAUGGGCGCAAGCCUGAUGCAGCCAUGCCGCGUGUGUGAAGAAGGCCUUCGGGUUGUAAAGCACUUUCAGCGGGGAGGAAGGCGUUAAGGUUAAUAACCUUGGCGAUUGACGUUACCCGCAGAAGAAGCACCGGCUAACUCCGUGCCAGCAGCCGCGGUAAUACGGAGGGUGCAAGCGUUAAUCGGAAUUACUGGGCGUAAAGCGCACGCAGGCGGUCUGUCAAGUCGGAUGUGAAAUCCCCGGGCUCAACCUGGGAACUGCAUUCGAAACUGGCAGGCUAGAGUCUUGUAGAGGGGGGUAGAAUUCCAGGUGUAGCGGUGAAAUGCGUAGAGAUCUGGAGGAAUACCGGUGGCGAAGGCGGCCCCCUGGACAAAGACUGACGCUCAGGUGCGAAAGCGUGGGGAGCAAACAGGAUUAGAUACCCUGGUAGUCCACGCCGUAAACGAUGUCGAUUUGGAGGUUGUGCCCUUGAGGCGUGGCUUCCGGAGCUAACGCGUUAAAUCGACCGCCUGGGGAGUACGGCCGCAAGGUUAAAACUCAAAUGAAUUGACGGGGGCCCGCACAAGCGGUGGAGCAUGUGGUUUAAUUCGAUGCAACGCGAAGAACCUUACCUGGUCUUGACAUCCACAGAACUUCCCAGAGAUGGAUUGGUGCCUUCGGGAACUGUGAGACAGGUGCUGCAUGGCUGUCGUCAGCUCGUGUUGUGAAAUGUUGGGUUAAGUCCCGCAACGAGCGCAACCCUUAUCCUUUGUUGCCAGCGGUUAGGCCGGGAACUCAAAGGAGACUGCCAGUGAUAAACUGGAGGAAGGUGGGGAUGACGUCAAGUCAUCAUGGCCCUUACGACCAGGGCUACACACGUGCUACAAUGGCAUAUACAAAGAGAAGCGACCUCGCGAGAGCAAGCGGACCUCAUAAAGUAUGUCGUAGUCCGGAUUGGGGUCUGCAACUCGACUCCAUGAAGUCGGAAUCGCUAGUAAUCGUAGAUCAGAAUGCUACGGUGAAUACGUUCCCGGGCCU
rnacentral:rRNA from 1 species